rnacentral:rRNA from 1 species
AUUGAACGCUGGCGGCAGGCCUAACACAUGCAAGUCGAACGAGUGGCGGACGGGUGAGUAAUGUCUGUGAAACUGCCUGAUGGAGGGGGAUAACUACUGGAACCGGUAGCUAAUCCCGCAUACCAUCAGUUGUGCCCAGAUGGGAUUAGCUAUUUGGUGGGGUAACGGCUCACCAGGGCGACGAUCCCUAGCUGGUCUGAGAGGAUGACGGGCAACACUGGAACUGGGACACGGUCCAGACUCCUACGGGAGGAAGAGGUGGGGAAGAUUGCACAAUGGGCGAAAGCCGGACGCAGCCAGGCGGCGUGUAUGAGGAGGGCCUUCGGGUUGUAAAGUACUUUCAGCGGGGAGACGGUAACCGAAGAAGAAGCGACGGCUAACUCCGUGCCAGCAGCCGCGGUAAUAC